UUUCUUGUUUAAGGAUUCCAAAUCCUAGUAGUAAUAGAAUUAACAUUCUAUUGUAAAUACCUGUCUCUUCUAGGUAUUUUAUUAGAGAUUAUUAUGAUAUUGAUGUUGAUUGUUGACAAUUAAUAAGAUUUAAGAAUUUGCAUUUCUUCUUUUUUUGAGAAUUUGUUUCUAUAGAAAAUGUGUUUUCUACCUUUUGUGAAUGUGUUUCUCUACCCUUUGAG
rnacentral:misc_RNA from 1 species